rnacentral:rRNA from 1 species
UUGGGAAUCUUCCGCAAUGGACGCAAGUCUGACGGAGCAACGCCGCGUGAGUGAAGAAGGAUUUCGGUUCGUAAAACUCUGUUGUUAGAGAAGAACAGCGCAUAGAGUAACUGUUAUGCGUGUGACGGUAUCUAACCAGAAAGCCACGGCUAACUACGUGCCAGCAGCCGCGGUAAUACGUAGGUGGCAAGCGUUGGCCGGAUUUAUUGGGCGUAAAGCGAGCGCAGGCGGUCAAUUAAGUCUGAUGUGAAAGCCCCCGGCUCAACCGGGGAGGGUCAUUGGAAACUGGUUGACUUGAGUGCAGAAGAGGAGGGUGGAAUUCCAUGUGUAGCGGUGAAAUGCGUAGAUAUAUGGAGGAACACCAGUGGAGAAGGCGACUCUCUGGUCUGUAACUGACGCUGAGGCUCGAAAGCGUGGGUAGCAAACAGG